GCACGGCUCAAUCCAUUUUUACCACCUGUGCACACACUGUAGGCCUGAAUGAACUUGUCGAGGAGACUCGGUUUGAGAGAACUGCUGUGAAAAUCAACUGUUCUUGCAUUUCAGGUCUAUGUUUCAUAUAUACUCCAUAACAAGUAAUAGAAUGUUAAUUCAUUAGGCCUUCUGUGCCUUAUUAAAACCUAAUACAACUUUCAACAACGGAUCUCUUGGCUCUCGCAUCGAUGAAGAACGCAGCGAAAUGCGAUAAGUAAUGUGAAUUGCAGAAUUCAGUGAAUCAUCGAAUCUUUGAACGCACCUUGCGCUCCUUGGUAUUCCGAGGAGCAUGCCUGUUUGAGUGUCAUGACAUUCUCAACCUCUCCGGCUUUAUUAGUUGGUCAGGCUUGGAUUGUGGGAGUUGCUGGUUUCUUACAAAUCAGCUCUUCUUAAAUGCAUUAGCAAAAAUUCUUGCUGGAACAUCUUUGGUAUGAUACAUUAUCUAUAUCAUUGAGAUACAGCUUUCCACUUUGGCGGAUCAGGCUCCACUUGGAUUUAUAUCUUUUCAAGUGUUCGAUUCAAC
rnacentral:rRNA from 1 species